CACCUAUGAAGCCUGCGCAGGGAUCACAGGAAAACUGGCAAACAGUGCGAAGAACGAAGGAAAAAAGCAGAUCAAGUUCAGCAAGAUCCCAACGGCCACGCAGAGGAGUGCAAGUAAAGCGUCCUCCCGCUCGACAGCAAAACUGAUGGAGUGCGCGGCCAUCUGGAGGGAGAGACGUGCGUUGAAGAUGCUUCUUCAGGUGCACAGAGGACGCAGGAGACGUGUGUUCUUCUGCCCCGUCGAGGCGGCUGCUGACGCUCCAAGGCAGCAACACGUGGGCGCACUUCGUGUGUUGCUCCCCAUUCAACAACACAACCGGCACAUUCAAAAAAGGGCCUGUGGGCCGCGGAAAGCUCUUCAAGAGGGCUUUCG
ensembl:lncRNA